UGGCAUGUUUUGAACAUAGACAUUCUGCCAAUAACAUUUGCCAGUCACUUGGAUGUGGCAGAUGGAGAAGAGAGGAGUCCAAGAUGACUCCAAGAACAGCUCCAUAAAUGCAAAUAUCCAGCUUACAAGGAUCAGUUGAUUUCUAUGUUGCCCAUCUUGUGCCUCAAGCGAUUCCAAUGUGCAGUGAUGUGAAGAACCACAGCCCUAAGGGGUGAGUGCAUGAGACUGGGCUUGCAGUUGCCAUUCCCAAAUUUCAUCAGAGCCCAGGAGAGGUGGAGAUGCACACCCAAUGAAGAAAGAAGCUCCUCAAGAGAGCCAGGAUUAGAGAUGAAAGGAACAAUGAAAUUAAAAGAACAGAAGAUGGACAGGAAGAUACAUAGGACACAAAGAAGCUUAAAGAGAAGCAUUUUUUAAAUUGAACAGUUUGGAAGUACCUCUGUUGUAGCAAGUGAUCAAUAGAUGAAGCAAA